UUCCUUACACAAUAUUUUUAAAAAAAUCAUCUCAAACUCACAUAAUUCUUAUCAUUUUAUUUUCUAAAGUGGACCACAUUUUCAAGAAAUUAUUCUAUGCAUUCAAACUCAAACUAACUGCACUCGAUUCAAGUUCUUCUUGAAAAAGUUACAGAAUACCUUCUUCUUCGUUUUCUCUCGGCGCACGUUAGUUAACAUACGCCGAGCUCGUAGCAAUGACGAGAGGGAGGGGUCGAGGUAGGGGACGACCCCAGAAGAUUCCGAUUUCAUCAAUAGAGAGAGUGAUAACAAGCAUUAACCAGUCAUCUACGGAGAAUCCAUCCACUAUUGUUGCAGCUGAGCAACCUGUCGAUCCUUCACGCGAAGGUGAGAAUGAGGCAUCUAGUAUGAUUUCGCAACAACCUAAUGGGUUAAAGGAGACGGAUCGAAGCUUUCCAGUUUCGUUUGAAGCAGCGUUAGCUCCGUUGAAGCAGAUAACCACUGAAAGUGGAUACAUGCAAAAGCCUAUGCCAGCCCAAACUCAACCAGCAAAGGUAGUAAUAGAGCAAGCGGAGGAAAUAUCAAACAAAACAGUGGUACCAAAGCAGAACUGGGCCACCCUCUUUCAGAAAAACAUAUUUGCAUCUAAUGGUAUGGCUAUAGAAUACAUACCUCCGGUAAUGAUUGAAGGUCAACCAAUAGGGCAACUGAACAAAACAGAGGUGGAAGAGGAAGAGUAAGUGGAAAUGUGCCCUAAUUGUCUAUAUUUUAGGGGAUGGGCCUGGGUACAAUGCGAUGAAGAGAUUCAUAAACCUCCAUUGGGCACAUGUACCAGAGCCAGAUUUGUUUUAUCAUGAAGGAUACUACAUUGUCAAGUUCAGAACAAUUGAUGAUGUCAAAGAAAUCAUGUGUGCUGGUCCUUAUUCUAUAGCAAACAGACCCAUGAUUCUUAAGUGUUUUACCAUGAGGAAGGAUACUACGUUGUCAAGUUCAGAACAAUUGAUGAUGCCAAAGAAAUCAUGUGUGCUGGUCCUUAUUCUAUAGCAAACAGACCCAUGAUUCUUAAGCAAUGGACGCCAGAUUUUGACUUCACUGAGGACUUCCCUGUUGAUAUUCAUCAUGUGUGCUGGUCCUUAUUCUAUAGCAAACAGACCCAUGAUUCUUAAGCAAUGGACGCCAGAUUUUGACUUCACAGAGGACUUCCCUGUUGAUAUUCCACUAUGGGUCAAAUUCCCUAAACUUCCAAUGUCUUGUUGGGGAAUGAGAUCCCUAAGUAGAAUUGCCAGUGUGUUAGGGAAUCCUAUCUUUGCAGAUGAAUGUACAACCAAACAAUCUAGAGUUUCCUAUGCUCGAAUGCUCAUAGAGAUGAAUGUUACUAAAGAGCUACCGAGAGAAAUAUGGC
rnacentral:lncRNA from 1 species